rnacentral:rRNA from 1 species
UUCCUCCUUCUUGAAGAACUGUGAUGUCAUUCAUUUGGUGUUGCAGGGAAACAGGACUGUUACUUUGAAAAAAUUAGAGUGUUUAAAGCAGGCUAACGCUUGAAUACAUUAGCAUGGAAUAAUGAAAUAGGACGUUUGAUCCUAUUUUGUUGGUUUCUAGGAUUGACGUAAUGAUUAAUAGGGAUAGUUGGGGGCAUUAGUAUUCAAUUGUCAGAGGUGAAAUUCUUGGAUUUAUUGAAGACUAACUACUGCGAAAGCAUUUGCCAAGGAUGUUUUCAUUAAUCAAGAACGAAAGAUAGGGGAUCGAAGACGAUCAGAUACCGUCGUAGUCUUAACCAUAAACUAUGCCGACUAGGGAUCGGAUGAUGUUAAUUUUUUAAUGACUCAUUCGGCGCCUUACG